rnacentral:rRNA from 1 species
UACGGGGGGGGCAAGCGUUGUUCGGAAUUACUGGGCGUAAAGGGCUCGUAGGCGGCCAACUAAGUCGGAUGUGAAAUCCCCAGGCUUAACCUGGGAACUGCAUCCGAUACUGGAUGGCUUGAAACCGGGAGAGGGAUGCGGAAUUCCAGGUGUAGCGGUGAAAUGCGUAGAUAUCUGGAGGAACACCGGUGGCGAAGGCGGCAUCCUGGACCGGCAUUGACGCUGAGGAGCGAAAGCCAGGGGAGCAAACGGG